UGUUAUUUGGUGUUAACAGACA
rnacentral:snRNA from 1 species